CAGUUUCUUCGCCACCUGGGGCUAUAGUAUGCUUAAGCAUGUUCCAAGGGUUGGGCUGUUCACCCAUUAAAGCGGUACGUGAGCUGGGUUUAGAACGUCAUGAGAUAGUUC
rnacentral:ncRNA from 1 species